rnacentral:rRNA from 1 species
UACGGAGGGUGCGAGCGUUGUCCGGAAUCACUGGGCGUAAAGGGCGCGUAGGCGGCGCAACAAGUCAACGGUGAAAGCCCGGGGCUCAACCCCGGGUCGGCCGUCGAUACUGUUGUGCUCGAGCACUGUAGAGGCAGGUGGAAUUCCGGGUGUAGCGGUGGAAUGCGUAGAGAUCCGGAAGAACACCGGUGGCGAAGGCGGCCUGCUGGGCAGUAGCUGACGCUGAGGCGCGACAGCGUGGGGAGCAAACAGG